UUCCCAACUCAGGGACGACCAGAGCUUCCAGAUACUUAUCCUGGCAUGUCACCCGGGCCCGACCUUGCCCAGGUACAGGACCCGGUAUAUCCAAAAACCAUGUCCCACGCCCUAACAAUCCACGACCUCGACUCGAUCUCCCACAAGCACCUCGCCCUCGAAACCCUCGCCCAAAUCACGCGCAUCGAACGCAAAACUUUCCCCGCCUCCGAGGCCUUCGAUUUCUCCGACCCGUCGCUCUGGCGCCGCAGACCUAACACGUACGUUCUGUAUGCGACGCUCGCAGGUGAUGCAGAUAUAGCUGCGUCUGCGUCUACGUCUACGGCUACAGCUGUUUCCACCAUCGCAAAGGGACCCAAGAGGAUAUCAUCAACCGCCACAGCCCCAUCCCCAGCCGCAGCCACGGUCAUAGCCUACGCCCUCUACGUCCGCCAAAGGGGCACCGCGCUCCUGCACAAGCUGUGCGUCGCAGAGCCCUUCCGCGGUCAGGGCGUUGGCAGACAGUUGCUGACGCAUGUGAUUGGGCAGCAGCGGAGCCAGCGGAGCGGAAGGGGCUGUCUGGCUGUGCAACUGUGGGU
rnacentral:sRNA from 2 species